rnacentral:rRNA from 1 species
UACGUAGGGGGCAAGCGUUGUCCGGAAUCAUUGGGCGUAAAGAGCGUGUAGGCGGCCAGACAGGUCCACUGUGAAAACUCGAGGCUCAACCUCGAGAGGUCGGUGGAAACCGUCUGGCUAGAGUCCGGAAGAGGAGAGUGGAAUUCCCGGUGUAGCGGUGAAAUGCGCAGAUAUCAGGAGGAACACCGGUGGCGAAGGCGGGUCUCUGGGCCGAUACUGACGCUGAGGAGCGAAAGCGUGGGGAGCGAACAGG